GCCUGGCUGGCUCAGUUGGUGGAGCAUGUGACUCUGGGUCUCGGGUUGUGAGUUCGAGCCCCAUGCUGGGUG
rnacentral:tRNA from 1 species